rnacentral:rRNA from 1 species
GACGAACGCUGGCGGCGUGCUUUACACAUGCAAGUCGAACGGACCUUCUGAUCUUUUGCUGGGGUGGAUGAGUGGCGAACGGGUGAGUAUCACGUGAGGAACCUGCCCUGAACUUCGGGAUAAGCCUGGGAAACUGGGUAUAAUAGUGGAUAGGACAUCUUGCCGCAUGGUGGGGUGUGGAAAGCUUUUUGCGGUUUGGGAUGGUCUCGCUGCCUAUCAGCUGGUUGGUGGGGUAAUGGCCUACCAAGGCUUUGACGGGUAGCCGGCCUGGGAGGGUGACCGGCCACACUGGGACUGAGACACGGCCCAGACUCCUACGGGAGGCAGCAGUGGGGGAUAUUGCACAAUGGGCGCAAGCCUGAUGCAGCGACGCCGCGUGAGGGAUGACGGCCUUCGGGUUGUAAACCUCUUUCAGUUGGGAAGAAGCCCCUAUUUGGGGUGACGGUACUUUCAGAAGAAGCACCGGCUAACUACGUGCCAGCCGCCGCAGUAA